rnacentral:lncRNA from 1 species
CCUGAAACAAAAAAAAUAGUCAAAUAAUAAACAAAAUGAGUAGGCAUUUUCUAAGUUUACUAUGAUGGUCAUAUGCCUGUGUAUGUCUAUGUUUGUCCAUAUACAUGUAUGCAAACAUAGGAGUGCAUACAAAAUAUGUACAUGAUCACAUGGAUCUUCAGUUAAUUUCAAUCUAUUAAGUUACAGUUAAAUAGUUAAGCACAUAAUUUUACUGGAACAUAGAUGACGGAAAGAGCAACCAAUGGGACAUAAUUUCUAUAAAUUGUAUUAAUGUACUCCCCCCAAAAUGUUUAACCCAUAGUCCAUACUGCAUUCUAGAUGAAAACCCCUAGGACUUCACGAAAAAUGAUGAAAUGAUUUCAAUAACAGAAGUAACAGAACAUUAUAAUGUAUUCAAUGCUGGUUCUUUUAUCUGCACUACACCUUUUUCAUAACAAACACCAGAAUUGGACAAUCCAAUAACCAAUCUAAAACAACAUGAAUAACUUAGGUUUCUCUAGUCAACCACAAACAUAUUUCUUAGGUUUUUCUAGUCAACCACAAACAUAUUUCUUAGGUUUUUCUAGUCAACCACAAACAUAUUUCUCUGAUCAUGGCAAUGCUCUCACUGUAGAGAAAAAUGAUAGGGAUAUACAGAAGGAAAUAGAUUAGCAGGCACUCACAGUUCACAUAAGGGCUGCAUAUUAAAUAUGAACUAGCAGAAAAUAGGUAUUUAAUCAAUUUCAACCUACCAU